rnacentral:tRNA from 1 species
UUAAAGUUGUUGAAAUUUCUGUAACCAAAAGAAAUUCACUUGAUUAAUUUUAUCUUAUUAUUAAUUCCUUCU